rnacentral:lncRNA from 1 species
GCCCGCGCUCCUCCGGCUCCGCGGCGCCCUCGCCGGGUGCGUGCCGCUUGCACGCCCGCCCGCCCGGCUCUCCGCGCCCGCCGCCCGCGCCCGGCCCCGGCGCCCCGGCCCUGCUGCCCGCGCUUCAUGGCUGCGCACGAAUGGGACUGGUUCCAGCGCGAGGAGCUCAUCGGACAGAUCAGCGACAUCCGAGUCCAGAACCUUCAAGAGACCGGGGAGGAGAAUUUUGCUGCAUUUAAAAGCCCCAGGAUGGGGGCUUCCCUGAUGGCACAGUGGUUGAGAAUCUGCCUGCCGAUGCAGGGGACACGGGUUCGAGCCCUGGUCUGGGAAGAUCCCACAUGCCGCGGAGCAGCUGGGCCCGUGAGCCACAACUACUGAGCCUGCGCGUCUGGAGCCUGUGCUCUGCAACGGGAGAGGCCGCGACAGUGAGAGGCCCGCGCACCGCGAUGAAGAGUGGCCCCCGCUCGCCGCAACUAGAGAAAGCCCUCGUACAGAAACGAAGACCCAACACAGCCAUAAAUAAAUAAAUAAAUAAAUAAAAUUAAAAGCCCCAGGAUGGGGGCUUCCCUGGUGGUGCAGUGGUUAAGAAUCCGCCUGCCAAUGCAGGGAACACUCCGGGAAGAUCCCACAUGCCACAGAGCAACUAAGCCCGUGAGCCACAACUACUGAGCCUGCGUGCCACACCUACUGAAGCCCGCGCACCUAGAGCCCGUGCUCUGCAACAAGAGAAGCCACCACAAUAAGAAGCCCGCGCAGCACAACAAAGACUAGCCCCCCGCUCGCUGCAACUAGAGAAAGGCUGCACACAGCAACGAAGACCCAACGCAGCCAAAAAUAAAUAAAUUAAUAAAUUUAUUUACAAAAAAAAAAGCCCCAGGAUGGACCUCAGGCUGCUGACAGAGUUCCUCUCCGUGUGCUAGACCAGUGGUUGUCUGAUAUUUUCCUCUUUUCACUUAUGUGUGUUCCCCAGUUUCUCUACAAACAAUAUGUUGAGUUUUUACUAAUAAGAAAAGCAAAGGUUUUGAAGAAUGAGCUUCCAACAUUUUGCCUGGUGCAUGGGAGACAUUCUUCCGGGCCCCGCCCCCAGUCCUGCCUUCCCACAGACACAUCCACCCCACUAGAUCAUCUGUCUCCAUUUUAACCCAUCACUGUAGAUGAAAAUGGAAUGUAUUAAAACUCAUGAAUAAUUCACAUUACAAAAGGAGUAUCGGCUUUACAACGUCUGCUUUCAGAGUUCAUUGUCUGACAAAGGCUGCCUAGAAAACCUAAAAUGUUAGCCAGCCAGAGAGUGGAGCUACCCAUUCUGUGCAGUUGUCGGCAGGUCAUUCUCUCCUGGGCCUGUUUCUUC